CGCGUAGGCGGCUUGUCAAGUCAGGGGUGAAAUCUUUCGGCUUAACCGGAAAAGUGCCUUUGAUACUGACAGGCUCGAGGGAGGUAGGGGUGUGUGGAACUUCUGGUGGAGCGGUGAAAUGCGUUGAUAUCAGAAGGAACGCCGGUGGCGAAAGCGACGCACUGGACCUCUUCUGACGCUGAGGCGCGAAAGCUAGGGGAGCAAACA
rnacentral:rRNA from 1 species